rnacentral:lncRNA from 1 species
GAGACAGACCGUAUCGCAUUGUGGGGAUUCGAGAUCGUUCGCUUGUCAUAUGGAGCAGAUAGUAAGUAAUUUCUAAUUAGUAUAUUUUAACUCUCUAAUUAUUUAAAAAAAAUUAAUUAAUUAUUCUCAAAUUACAGAAAGAUGCAGAGAGUGGCGAGCUUCCUGGUAGGAUCGAUAUCUACCAGUAGACCCACCAGCGAC